rnacentral:rRNA from 1 species
UUGUAAUUUGUAGAGGAUGAUUUGGGGAAGCCGCCUGUCUAAGUUCCUUGGAACAGGACGUCAUAGAGGGUGAGAAUCCCGUAUGUGACAGGAAAUGGCACCCUAUGUAAAUCUCCUUCGACGAGUCGAGUUGUUUGGGAAUGCAGCUCUAAAUGGGAGGUAAAUUUCUUCUAAAGCUAAAUAUUGGCGAGAGACCGAUAGCGCACAAGUAGAGUGAUCGAAAGAUGAAAAGCACUUUGGAAAGAGAGUUAAAAAGCACGUGAAAUUGUUGAAAGGGAAGCGCUUGCAAUCAGACUUGUUUAAACUGUUCGGCCGGUCUUCUGACCGGUUUACUCAGUUUGGACAGGCCAGCAUCAGUUUCGGCGGCCGGAUAAAGGCUCUGGGAAUGUGGCCUCCACUUCGGUGGAGGUGUUAUAGCCCAGGGUGUAAUACGGCCAGCCGGGACUGAGGUCCGCGCUUCGGCUAGGAUGCUGGCGUAAUGGUUGUAAGCGACCCGUCUUGAAACACGGACCAAGGAGUCUAACAUCUAUGCGAGUGUUCGGGUGUCAAACCCCUGCGCGUAA